rnacentral:miRNA from 1 species
AUUCCUAGAAAUUGUUCACA